GGACGAACGCUGGCGGCGUGCCUAAUACAUGCAAGUAGAACGCUGAAGAGAGGAGCUUGCUCUUCUUGGAUGAGUUGCGAACGGGUGAGUAACGCGUAGGUAACCUGCCUUGUAGCGGGGGAUAACUAUUGGAAACGAUAGCUAAUACCGCAUAACAAUGGAUGACUCAUGUCAUUUAUUUGAAAGGGGCAAAUGCUCCACUACAAGAUGGACCUGCGUUGUAUUAGCUAGUAGGUGAGGUAACGGCUCACCUAGGCGACGAUACAUAGCCGACCUGAGAGGGUGAUCGGCCACACUGGGACUGAGACACGGCCCAGACUCCUACGGGAGGCAGCAGUAGGGAAUCUUCGGCAAUGGGGGCAACCCUGACCGAGCAACGCCGCGUGAGUGAAGAAGGUUUUCGGAUCGUAAAGCUCUGUUGUAAGUCAAGAACGAGUGUGAGAGUGGAAAGUUCACACUGUGACGGUAGCUUACCAGAAAGGGACGGCUAACUACGUGCCAGCAGCCGCGGUAAUACGUAGGUCCCGAGCGUUGUCCGGAUUUAUUGGGCGUAAAGCGAGCGCAGGCGGUUUGAUAAGUCUGAAGUUAAAGGCUGUGGCUCAACCAUAGUUCGCUUUGGAAACUGUCAAACUUGAGUGCAGAAGGGGAGAGUGGAAUUCCAUGUGUAGCGGUGAAAUGCGUAGAUAUAUGGAGGAACACCGGUGGCGAAAGCGGCUCUCUGGUCUGUAACUGACGCUGAGGCUCGAAAGCGUGGGGAGCGAACAGGAUUAGAUACCCUGGUAGUCCACGCCGUAAACGAUGAGUGCUAGGUGUUGGAUCCUUUCCGGGAUUCAGUGCCGCAGCUAACGCAUUAAGCACUCCGCCUGGGGAGUACGACCG
rnacentral:rRNA from 1 species